rnacentral:rRNA from 1 species
GUGUUUUAAUUCCAUUCAGAGGAACUUGCCCCGUUAUCGAUAGUCCUCGUUAUAUCUUACUUGGUUUAUUUAGUAUGUAUAUCGCCGUUUUAUGUUUAUUUUUUUAGAAUUUAUUUACUAAUAAUUUUAUUAUAUUUUAUAUCAGGUCAAGGUGCAGCUUAUAACUAAGUGGAGGUGAGUUACAAUAUUAUUUAAGUAAAUGGAUUUUUUUUUAAAUUUUUAAAUGAAGGUGGAUUUGAUUGUAAUUUUAUUAAUAUAAUUGAUUUGAUUUUGGCUCUAAAACAAGUACACAUCGCC